CCUACGGGUGGCAGCAGUCGGGAAUAUUGCGCAAUGGAGGAAACUCUGACGCAGUGACGCCGCGUAUAGGAAGAAGUUUUUCGGAAUGUAAACUAUUGUCGUUAGGGAAGAGAAAGGACAGUACCUAAGGAGGAAGCCCCGGCUAACUACGUGCCAGCAGCCGCGGUAAUACGUAGGAGGCAAGCGUUAUCCGGAUUUACUGGGUGUAAAGGGAGCGUAGACGGCAAUACAAGUCGGAAGUGAAAUACCCGGGCUCAACCUGGGAACUGCUUUGGAAACUGUAUGGCUAGAGUGCUGGAGAGGUAAGCGGAAUUCCUAGUGUAGCGGUGAAAUGCGUAGAUAUUAGGAGGAACACCAGUGGCGAAGGCGGCUUACUGGACAGUAACUGACGUUGAGGCUCGAAAGCGUGGGGAGCAAACAGGAUUAGAUACCCCUGUAGUC
rnacentral:rRNA from 1 species